rnacentral:rRNA from 1 species
CAAUGGACGGUACAAAGAGCUGCAAGACCGCGAGGGGGAGCUAAUUUCAAAAAACCUUUUUCAGUUCGGAUUUUAGGCUGCAAUUGCCUAACAUAAAGCUGGAAUCGCUAGUAAUCGCGGUCCACCAUGCCGCGGUGAAAACGUUCCCGGCCCUGGUCCACCCCGCCCGUCCCACCACGGGAGUUUGUAACACCGGAAGUCGGUGGGGUACCUUUUUGGAGCCAGCCGCCUAAGGUGGGACAGAUGAUGGGGGAAGUCGUAACAA